AGUAGUUUGAUCCGUGGCUCGAGGACGACGCUGGCGGCGUGCUUAACACAUGCAAGUCGAGCGGAAACAGGGACUUCGGUUUUUGUUUUAGCGGCGGACGGGUGAGUAACACGUGGGUAACCUACCCUAUACAGGGGGAUAACGUAAAGAAAUUUACGCUAAUACCGCAUAAGCCAACAGGGAGGCAUCUUCUGGUUGGAAAAGCGGAGACGGUAUAGGAUGGGCCCGCGACUGAUUAGCCAGUUGGCGGUGUAAUGGACCACCAAAGCAACGAUCAGUAGCCGGUCUGAGAGGAUGGACGGCCACAUUGGGACUGAGACACGGCCCAGACUCC
rnacentral:rRNA from 1 species